GAUGAACGCUGGCGGCGUGCCUAAUACAUGCAAGUCGAGCGAACGGACGAGAAGCUUGCUUCUCUGAUGUUAGCGGCGGACGGGUGAGUAACACGUGGAUAACCUACCUAUAAGACUGGGAUAACUUCGGGAAACCGGAGCUAAUACCGGAUAAUAUUUUGAACCGCAUGGUUCAAAAGUGAAAGACGGUGUUGCUGUCACUUAUAGAUGGAUCCGCGCUGCAUUAGCUAGUUGGUAAGGUAACGGCUUACCAAGGCAACGAUGCAUAGCCGACCUGAGAGGGUGAUCGGCCACACUGGAACUGAGACACGGUCCAGACUCCUACGGGACGCAGCAGUAGGGAAUCUUCCGCAAUGGGCGAAAGCCUGACGGAGCAACGCCGCGUGAGUGAUGAAGGUCUUCGGAUCGUAAAACUCUGUUAUUAGGGAAGAACAUAUGUGUAAGUAACUGUGCACAUCUUGACGGUACCUAAUCAGAAAGCCACGGCUAACUACGUG
rnacentral:rRNA from 1 species